GGGCGUCCGCCGCGUUCGCGGAGGUUUUUAGUUCCUUGAACCGAUGCUCUCGCGAGCCUGGGCUUGGAAUAUCCCCCGGCUGGUGCGAUCGUCUCGCGUCAGAUGAACCCGAAGCCGGGUUGACCUUGCCCCCCUGAAUCCCCUGGGUUCAGGAAUGCGGCCUUCGGCUCGCGGCGGACACCUU
rnacentral:other from 1 species